AAUGAAGUGCCUGAAAAAAGGGUUAUUUUGAUAGAAUAAAUUAUGCGAUUAUUUGCCUUCAUUA
rnacentral:tRNA from 1 species